ensembl:lncRNA
CAUAGCCAUAUGCAAAUGCGUCUUUCAGAAGCAAGGCAAUUUCAGACAGCCCUCAAGAUGACGAAGGCCGAGCUGGCAAGCUGGCGUGGGAGAAGGGGCCAGCCCAGACUCAGCUGUGGGAGGCGGAGCCCGCGCCCGCGGGGCCCUGGCAGGGAACCAGGAGCAGCGCCGCUCGCUCGCCAGGGGGUGAAGCAAGAAAGCCCAGAAGGCUCCAGUGCGAACGAUUCUGGUUUCCGAGGCCGUUUGGAGCGAGCUCAAGGCCCUGGGUUCAAGCCCAGCACUGACUGCCAGAGAGAGAAGCUCUUCGCAGCUCCGCCGUACACGCUGCGGGGCGACCCCAGGAG